UAGAUUAUAUUUUGUGAUAGUAUGGACCACCUAACUCUUUGUGAGAACUGACAUUUCUCUAGCCUUCAACCACCUUUUCACCAUCUUUCGUCCUUAUCCUCUCUCAACCCAACUGUUCCUCCUUCAAUAUAGUUUUGAUGAUGGUGGUGCAUCAAGCUCCCACAACCGGUGACACUAUCGUUCAACCAAUUAUUUCUCAUGCUUGAAUUUAAACUCGAAAAGGUCAGGGUUUCGCCUGCAUUAACCUCAUGGUUAUUCUUGUUUGCAUCAUUCGCGUGGAUUUGGAUUAUUGUCGUUGUUUUUUGUUUUUCUUAAUGUUGUUUAGAUCUUGAUCUCUUCAUUGUCAGUUUAUUCUAUCAACAUGCUAGCUUCUCCUUUCUUCCGAUUCGAAGUAGACAUUUUUUUCUUUUGAUUUCAAGUCUGUUAAGAUCUACAUGUUUCAAGAUUUAAGAUUUGUCAUCACAUAAUUAAUGGAUUUUUAGUUGGUUAGGUGGUGGUCCUGGUUCGUGGAGUGGAUUAUGGUUUUAUUUGCAUUCAAUGUUAGUCGUAUUAAAAAUCAUAUAAAUUCUUAGAGAUUAGGUUUGGUUUACUUGGAUAGAAAUGAUUGUAAAUUUACUAUUGUUUGUCACAGUAAAUUAUUAUGUGUGGGAUCAUUCCCGUGUUGGCGGUUGAUUCUUUUACUAUAAUCAAUACAUGGAAUUUUUGGACAAGAAAGCUUUGGAAUGCAUAAUCAUAAUUUGGAAGAAGUGUUGAAUGCAAUUUGGAGGCCUAAUUUUGAAGAAUAUCACUUGGAAGACUAUUUGGGUGAAGCUUGCAAGGCAAGGAAGCUGAAGUAGCUUCAGUUCGCGCCGUGAACUCCCUUCGCGCCACGAAGCUUGCGAAUCCAGCAAGCUGUUUUGGCCAAGUGUGUUGUUUUCAAGGCCAGCUGUGUUUUGCCAUUUUGGUGUCUAUCUUAGGGGGGCUUUUCAGCUUUAGAUGAAAAUGAUCAUUUUAGGAAAUGUCAACCCUUUUUAUAAAAUCAGAAUGGAAAUUAUUCAUUCAUUCAUAGAUUCAUAGACGAAUUUCAUUGAUAGCUUGAUUUUUUGUAAGAGAGAAAAACAGAGUUUAUUUCUUCAUUGCCUUGUGCUUUCCAAAGAUGAUGAUGAGGAGCUAAACCCCAUUUUGUCAA